UUAAAUUGAAGAGUUUGAUCAUGGCUCAGAUUGAACGCUGGGGGCAGGCCUAACACAUGCAAGUCGAACGGUAA
rnacentral:rRNA from 1 species